rnacentral:lncRNA from 13 species
GGUAUCAAUUCUAUUGCGAUUCAUCUGUCAGUGUAGACAUAUUUGAUUGGAUCCGUGGCAUACACACUACUCUGGCAGUGGAGGAACACAUAGGUGGCUAGAUAGAACCAAUACACGAAAUGAAAGGGUUCUCCUAUAUAGAUAUGUAAGUAGCUAGCCAUAGUAUUUCUAAUACAGCAGUAGCCCUGACAUUGCUAGCUAGCUUUAUAUAUAUAUAUAUUUUUUUUUAUUAUACAAAGUUAUUAGCAGUAUGUCAUCUCGCUAGCUAUUGGUACACACUCUUUUCACGCCACUUCGAUACAGCACAACCGGAAGUGAUUUUUGUAGCAGAUUACCCAACCUUUUUUCAAUCCGGGACCUUUGAGACGUCCCUACCUCAUUUGAAGUUAACACUUAAAAUGGGUUGGUGAAGGUCAGGGUAGGGGUUACCCACGGACCUUUCGCUAACUCUUUUCCUAACCUUAACCUGAAAUUCUCCUAACCUGCUACGAAAAAGUAACUUCCGGUCAUAGCUGUAUCGAAGCGGCGUGAAAAGUGUUUCUCAUACUGUGUUUUCCUGCCUUGGUUUUGCCAAUAAGUCUGAAGUUGUUGUAAAUUAAACUUGUUUCUUUCUGAUUCUCAUUCAUAAGAGAAAGAGUAACAUAACGGACUAAAGCCACAAAUUAUCAAUCUAAUGUUACAGCACACACACACAUAGCUAGUAUCUAGCAAGUUGACGUUGUCACACUACAGAAAAAGGCAUUUGAAUAAGAGGAUUACUGGCUACUUCUGUAUGUGUUCCAGGUUGUCAGGUACUGUUGAGGAGAGGAGCUCAGUGAUGAUGGAGACUGCAGCCCUGGUAGUGCCUGUCACUGCUCUGGAGUUCCUAAGGGAGGAGUACCUGCUGACAGAAAGACCUGUAAUUCAACUGUCUGUGCAGAGUGAGAGAAGACUCAUGGAAGGAAUCUAUUGAUGCCUGAAGGGAGUCGGGGCUGAUUGGUGAAGUAAUUUACUGUUAUAGGCACUAUGGUGUUACGGGAUCGGUUGCCUAUGAUUGGCUCCUCUGGAAGGAAACCAGCAGGUACUGUGAACCAACUAAGGUUUCCCACCACUUAAUUUAAUAGCGCUACUAUUUGAACCUGCUUCACUGUCUGUGUGUUGACUUCUGGUCCAUGACUGUUUAAAAGGCCAGCUCCUUCUCCUCUGGCUCUGCAUCCUCUCCUACUCCUUCUCAUAUCCUGUUUCAUCCCCUCUCAUCUCUGUUGGCUCUCAAGUGUUUGUUUUCCUCUGGCUUUGUUCUCUGUCAACAGACACUUGAUCCUGUCAACAGAGACACACAGGGCUUGAAAUAAUAAACAAUGCACUGUAAAGCUCACAACAACAGUUCUUGUGGUGAGAUGUUACCCCACUCUUCCACCAAGGCACCUGCAAGUUCCCGGACAUUUCUGGGGGGAAUGGACCUAGCCCUCACCCUCUAAUCCAACAGGUUCCAGGCGUGCUCAAUGGGAUUGAGAUCCGGGCUCUUCGCUGGCCAUGGCAGAACACUGACAUUCCUGUCUUGCAGGAAAUCAUACACAGAAUGAGCAGUAUUGCUGGUGGCAUUAUCAUGCUGGAGGGUCAUGCCAGGAUGAGCCUGCAGGAAGGGUACCACAUGAGGGAGGAGGACGUCUUCCCUGUAACGCACAGCGUUAAGAUUGCCUGCAAUGACAACAAGCUCAGCCUGAUGAUGCUGUGACAUCCCGCCCCAGACCAUGACGGACCCUCCACCUCCAAAUCGAUCCCGCUCCAGAGUACAGGCCUCGGUGGAACGCUCGUUCCUUCGACGAUAAACGCGAAUCCGACCAUCACCCCUGGUGAGACAAAACUGCAACUCGUCAGUGAAGAGCACUUUUUGCCAGUCCUGUCUGGUCCAGCGAUGGUGGGUUUGUGCCCAUAGGUAACGCUGUUGCCAGGGAUCUUGUACCUGU